rnacentral:piRNA from 1 species
UGGCCUGACAGAGUGUACCAGUUUGGAGGUC